AGAGUUUGAUCCUGGCUCAGUGACGCUGGCGGCAGGCCUAACACAUGCAGUCGAGCGGUAGCACAGAGGAGCUUGCUCCUUGGGUGACGAGCGGCGGACGGGUGAGUAAUGUCUGGGAAACUGCCUGAUGGAGGGGGAUAACUACUGGAAACGGUAGCUAAUACCGCAUAACCUCUUCGGAGCAAAGAGGGGGACCUUCGGGCCUCUCGCCAUCAGAUGUGCCCAGAUGGGAUUAGCUAGUAGGUGAGGUAAUGGCUCACCUAGGCGACGAUCCCUAGCUGGUCUGAGAGGAUGACCAGCCACACUGGAACUGAGACACGGUCCAGACUCCUACGGGAGGCAGCAGUGGGGAAUAUUGCACAAUGGGCGCAAGCCUGAUGCAGCCAUGCCGCGUGUGUGAAGAAGGCCUUCGGGUUGUAAAGCACUUUCAGCGAGGAGGAAGGCGGUAAGGUUAAUAACCUUAUCGAUUGACGUUACUCGCAGAAGAAGCACCGGCUAACUCCGUGCCAGCAGCCGCGGUAAUACGGAGGGUGCAAGCGUUAAUCGGAAUGACUGGGCGUAAAGCGCACGCAGGCGGUCUGUUAAGUUGGAUGUGAAAUCCCCGGGCUUAACCUGGGAACUGCAUUCAAAACUGACAGGCUAGAGUCUUGUAGAGGGGGGUAGAAUUCCAGGUGUAGCGGUGAAAUGCGUAGAGAUCUGGAGGAAUACCGGUGGCGAAGGCGGCCCCCUGGACAAAGACUGACGCUCAGGUGCGAAAGCGUGGGGAGCAAACAGGAUUAGAUACCCUGGUAGUCCACGCUGUAAACGAUGUCGAUUUGGAGGUUGUGCCCUUGAGGCGUGGCUUCCGGAGCUAACGCGUUAAAUCGACCGCCUGGGGAGUACGGCCGCAAGGUUAAAACUCAAAUGAAUUGACGGGGGCCCGCACAAGCGGUGGAGCAUGUGGUUUAAUUCGAUGCAACGCGAAGAACCUUACCUACUCUUGACAUCCACAGAAUUUGGUAGAGAUACCUUAGUGCCUUCGGGAACUGUGAGACAGGUGCUGCAUGGCUGUCGUCAGCUCGUGUUGUGAAAUGUUGGGUUAAGUCCCGCAACGAGCGCAACCCUUAUCCUUUGUUGCCAGCGAUUCGGUCGGGAACUCAAAGGAGACUGCCGGUGAUAAACCGGAGGAAGGUGGGGAUGACGUCAAGUCAUCAUGGCCCUUACGAGUAGGGCUACACACGUGCUACAAUGGCGUAUACAAAGAGAAGCGACCUCGCGAGAGCAAGCGGACCUCAUAAAGUACGUCGUAGUCCGGAUUGGAGUCUGCAACUCGACUCCAUGAAGUCGGAAUCGCUAGUAAUCGUAGAUCAGAAUGCUACGGUGAAUACGUUCCCGGGCCUUGUACACACCGCCCGUCACACCAUGGGAGUGGGUUGCAAAAGAAGUAGGUAGCUUAACCUUCGGGAGGGCGCUUACCACUUUGUGAUUCUAGACUGGGGUGAAGUCGUAACAAGGUAACCGUAGGAACCUGCGGCUGGAUCACCUCCUU
rnacentral:rRNA from 1 species